GACGAACGCUGGCGGCGUGCUUAACACAUGCAAGUCGAACGGAAAGGCCCUGCUUUUGUGGGGUGCUCGAGUGGCGAACGGGUGAGUAACACGUGAGUAACCUGCCCUUGACUUUGGGAUAACUUCAGGAAACUGGGGCUAAUACCGGAUAGGAGCUCCUGCUGCAUGGUGGGGGUUGGAAAGUUUCGGCGGUUGGGGAUGGACUCGCGGCUUAUCAGCUUGUUGGUGGGGUAGUGGCUUACCAAGGCUUUGACGGGUAGCCGGCCUGAGAGGGUGACCGGCCACAUUGGGACUGAGAUACGGCCCAGACUCCUACGGGAGGCAGCAGUGGGGAAUAUUGCACAAUGGGCGGAAGCCGGAUGCAGCAACGCCGCGUGCGGGAUGACGGCCUUCGGGUUGUAAACCGCUUUCGCCUGUGACGAAGCGUGAGUGACGGUAAUGGGUGAGAAGCACCGGCUAACUACGUG
rnacentral:rRNA from 1 species